GUUAAAACUCAAAUGAAUUGACGGGGGCCCGCACAAGCGGUGGAGCAUGUGGUUUAAUUCGAUGCAACGCGAAGAACCUUACCUACUCUUGACAUCCAGAGAAUUCGCUAGAGAUAGCUUAGUGCCUUCGGGAACUCUGAGACAGGUGCUGCAUGGCUGUCGUCAGCUCGUGUUGUGAAAUGUUGGGUUAAGUCCCGCAACGAGCGCAACCCUUAUCCUUUGUUGCCAGCACGUAAUGGUGGGAACUCAAAGGAGACUGCCGGUGAUAAACCGGAGGAAGGUGGGGAUGACGUCAAGUCAUCAUGGCCCUUACGAGUAGGGCUACACACGUGCUACAAUGGCGUAUACAAAGAGAAGCGAACUCGCGAGAGCAAGCGGACCUCAUAAAGUACGUCGUAGUCCGGAUCGGAGUCUGCAACUCGACUCCGUGAAGUCGGAAUCGCUAGUAAUCGUAGAUCAGAAUGCUACGGUGAAUACGUUCCCGGGCCUUGUACACACCGCCCGUCACACCAUGGGAGUGGGUUGCAAAAGAAGUAGGUAGCUUAACCUUCGGGAGGGCGCUUACCACUUUGUGAUUCAUGACUGGGGUG
rnacentral:rRNA from 1 species